GAUGGGGCUGUAGCUCAUUGGUAGAGCAUCUGCUUUGUAUGCAGGAGGUCCAGGUUCAAUCCCUGGCACCAUCU